CCAGACAUACUGGUAUAACUUAGCUAACAGUGUUUGAUAACGUUAUUGCUGGUUAUGUAGGUAGCUAUCAAUUGAUGAAGUGAGUCAAGCUAGCUAACGUUAGCCUACAAGUCAGAUUUGCAAGUUAGUUUAACAGCUCAUACAAGUGGAUUCUGUAUUGUCUAUGGCAAAACUAAAUAAUGGAUGGUGGUGGCUAACAUGUCUGAAUCUGACUAAUGCAGUGAACUAGGAGAAAGUAACAAACCUUAACUCAGUCACCGGCCUGAAUUUAAACUAAUCUGGAGCUGCUGCAGUCAGUCUACAUCAGUGGAGGCCAUGUGUUUGUAUUUGAUACCAUUCCACUGAUUCCGCUCCAGCCAUUACCACGAGCCCGUCCUCCCCAAUUAAGGUGCCACCAACCACCUGCAUCUAUAAAGCAUAUAAUUAGGGAUUCCACUAGUUACCACAGCCACAAAGUCAAAAUUGGCUAUGAAGUAAAAAUGUAUGAAAACAGAAAAUAUAUUUUGGGUUGUAAUUUUAGGCAGAAAGUUAUCAGUAUAGUUAGGGUUAAGGUUAGGUUUAAAUCACAUUUUAAGAAGAGAAAUUGUAGAAAUAGGAGGCCUUCUGACUUUGUGGCCGUGGUAAUUAGUGACUACCUAGAAAUACCUUGAGCCGAGUAGGUUAAUUACCCAGCCAAGCAGAUACAAGGUGUUGAGUCAUUUAGGUUGUGAAAAGCAUUAUCAAAAAUCUUUGUCCUUUCUUUAUUACAAAAUGCACGUUACAACUUGUCUGUCUAUAUUUAUCACCCUGUAACCGGCCCUCCCAGUCGUUGUACAGGGAAGUACAAGGAAGGAAGUACAUUGUUUACGAGGAUUGCCUGCUGUAGUUGCUCAAGAGAUGUCCAGUUUGCAGCCGAAUGUGCAACAUAGUGAAGACCAGCAAGGGGACCCUCAACAUCACGCAGACAUGCCCUCGCCUAUGAGCAAUCCUAUAAAUGGAACAGGGAACAACUUGAAUCAAGUUGGUGACAUUUGACCUGGUCAAAGGUCAAAACAGUAGAGUUUUUCCCAAUCCACCUUCAUACCAUUGCCUGUAUCUUUGAAGAGGAGUCAGGAGCUGAUCUACGCUGCCAUGUCUGUCAAUGGGGUGCGGGCAAUGACCUUACCUCCAGCCUCUCCUCUUGCCUGCUCACCAACGGUUGUCGAUGGGGAGACCAGAAUUAGAUGCAUCUAUGGAGCCAGCAUUUUGGAGACUUGGUCCUGACCAACAGACAGGCUUGAUACUGACGUCUCUGAAUGGAAAGAGACCUGGCAUUCAAAGCAUCCACACUGUGGGACUGAAGGUGAUUACUAAUAAUGCAGUCCAGAAGAAAUGUCCAUUAUUUGCGACACCCUUUUUAUUAUGUGUCACUGAUGAACUCCGCCCUCAACUUGACCUAUUUCUACAAAUGGAGAGGACUGUGGAUGCUUUUGCCAGAUGCCAGCCUUGUUCGUUUGAUGGGGAGACCAUAAUAGGAAAGGUUUUAUCUGACCUGUUCAGACUUCAACUAGUACCUGUUUGUGUGUAAAAUAUGACCUAUCCUAACUGCCAUUGGUAAUAGAACAAUGACUAUGUGUGUAUGUGUUUAUAGAAACAUGUAUGGAGACUUGUAAGAUGAUGUGAUGAAGUCCAGACUGACAGACAGGCUUGAUACUGAUGUCUCUGAAUGGAGAGAGACCUGGCACUCGGCAUUAACAUUUUACUAGACACAGCUUUUACUUGUGUUGUCUUUUUUAAAUGAUUGAAUUGGAUGGUAUCAGUCAAUAUGAGACGAGAAAAACACUAUGUAUUCUGCACCAAGAUCAGGGAACUCCUGUUGUAUACGGGACACCAUACUGGAAGGUAUGACCACUCUGACAUGUUAGCCAAGGUAGCCCCAUUACCACUAGCCAAAAUGUCAUUAGGCACGAUAUCUGUAUCAUUGUUAUAUUAGCUGAACACUGCUUCUACGGUAUUACGUAAAGGUUGUUGGAACUGUUACUACAUUUGAAAGUUGUUAUCAAAACACUUAAUUUAGAAUAUCUACAUAAAUUCUGCAAUUGCAUUCUUCUCAUAUUACUCUGUAGGUCAGUGGUUCCCAACUUUUUCGGUUACUGUACUACCAAAAGAAUUUAGCUCUUCCCGGAGUACCCUUGAAGUACCCCUCAUAUGCAUUUUACCUGGUCUCAUGAGUCUUCUCAAGUACUACCUAUGGAUAGGACGAGUAUGCUGGCGAAAUGCAUAGCGCAUAGAAUAAAAAAGGUUUUACUAGAUAUUGUUCAUCCUGAUCUGACAGGUAUUUUACAUGGACAAUACAGUAUAUUAGAGAUAAUAUACGACAAUCACUUGAAACAAUUGAACAUUAUGAAACAUCAAAGAUACCAGACCUGGUCUUCAUAGCAGAUUUUGAAAAGGCGUUUGAAAAAGUAUGACUAGAAUUUAUAUAUAAAUGCCUAGAAUUUAUAUAUAAAUGCCUGGAGUACUUUAAUUUCGGUGAAUCUCUUAUACAAUGUGUUGUGUAAAAUAGGUGUAAAAUAGUAAAUCAUGGUUACUUCUCAGGAAGUAUUGAGCUUUUAAGAGGAGAUAAACAGGGCUGUCCGUUGUCUCCAUAUCUAUUUAUUAUGGCCAUCGAAAUGCUAGCUAUUAAAAUGACAUCCAGGGGAAAAGAACAAAAAGUGUCAGUGUAUGCUGAUGACUCAAGUGUUUCUAUCAAUACAAACUAACAAUCAACUGAUUGCAGCAUUUACCACACAAAUGGAAGAGGCAAGUGGAAGAGGGAGAAGGUAGGGAACUUGUUUGUCUGCCAUGUAUUAAAGAUACAGAUUUGCUAAAAGGAUUGACAUAAAAUAUAAAUAUAUACCAGUUUCAGUUGAGAACAACAUUUUUGACAGCUGCUGAUUCAAUGGUUAAUUUAAAAAAUUAUACAAAAUUCUUGCCACCAACAUAAUGUUAUAUAUGUGGAGCAUACCACAAUCUCAGCUCUGUAGAUUUUUCUGCAACGAGACAGAAUCACUACUGUAGAUAAUUUAUUCUGGUAUUACCUCUAUGUAGCUUGUUUCUGGUCACAGGUUCAGGAAUGGUUAAAAAAAUCACAACCUUCAAUUAAAGUUAACGUUACAAAUAGCAGUGUUGGGCAAUUUGGAAAGCCAUAGUCAAAAGUACCACGUAUGUCAAAUGUGUAUGUAAAUUGUAUGUACAGUAUAUGUAGCUGAAAAGCUGUACAAACAACAACAAAAAAGGGGGGGGGGGGUUAAUACAAAUGUAAAUAUAUAUACA